GGGGGUGUAAAGGUUUCGACGGGGAUUGUGAAGCGGGAUAAGCGAGCAGAAGCGCAUGCCUUCUUUAAAACGUGCAAAACUUAAAAAUAAACGACAACAAUAAAGUUGCUCUCGCUGCCUAAUUAGGCGGCUGUCUGACCGAGGAGUACUGCGGCCUCGGCUCAGGCAUCACUUAGCAGUGAACGUACUUUCGCCAAAGCUUUGAGACGAUUGUAUGAAUUUAUGAAGCUACCAACCGUGAAGGCUGUCGGUUGCCGUCGCGUGAGGGAAUCCAAAUAACCGAAUACGCUCGUAGAAAUUCUCGUGAAUCGGUUUUCGGACAGGGGUUCGAUUCCCCUCACCUCCACCA
rnacentral:tmRNA from 1 species